rnacentral:tRNA from 1 species
UCCCUGGAGGACUAGUGGUUAAGCCACAGCGCUCUCACCACUGUGGCCUGGGUUCAAUUCCCAGCCAGGUAU